GGGUUGUGAGGUUAAGCGACUAAGCGUACACGGUGGAUGCCCUGGCAGUCAGAGGCGAUGAAGGACGUGCUAAUCUGCGAUAAGCGUCGGUAAGGUGAUAUGAACCGUUAUAACCGGCGAUUUCCGAAUGGGGAAACCCAGUGUGAUUCGUCACACUAUCAUUAACUGAAUCCAUAGGUUAAUGAGGCGAACCGGGGGAACUGAAACAUCUAAGUACCCCGAGGAAAAGAAAUCAACCGAGAUUCCCCCAGUAGCGGCGAGCGAACGGGGAGCAGCCCAGAGCCUGAAUCAGUGUGUGUGUUAGUGGAAGCGUCUGGAAAGGCGCGCGAUACAGGGUGACAGCCCCGUACACAAAAAUGCACAUGCUGUGAGCUCGAUGAGUAGGGCGGGACACGUGGUAUCCUGUCUGAAUAUGGGGGGACCAUCCUCCAAGGCUAAAUACUCCUGACUGACCGAUAGUGAACCAGUACCGUGAGGGAAAGGCGAAAAGAACCCCGGCGAGGGGAGUGAAAAAGAACCUGAAACCGUGUACGUACAAGCAGUGGGAGCACGCUUAGGCGUGUGACUGCGUACCUUUUGUAUAAUGGGUCAGCGACUUAUAUUCUGUAGCAAGGUUAACCGAAUAGGGGAGCCGAAGGGAAACCGAGUCUUAACUGGGCGUUAAGUUGCAGGGUAUAGACCCGAAACCCGGUGAUCUAGCCAUGGGCAGGUUGAAGGUUGGGUAACACUAACUGGAGGACCGAACCGACUAAUGUUGAAAAAUUAGCGGAUGACUUGUGGCUGGGGGUGAAAGGCCAAUCAAACCGGGAGAUAGCUGGUUCUCCCCGAAAGCUAUUUAGGUAGCGCCUCGUGAAUUCAUCUCCGGGGGUAGAGCACUGUUUCGGCAAGGGGGUCAUCCCGACUUACCAACCCGAUGCAAACUGCGAAUACCGGAGAAUGUUAUCACGGGAGACACACGGCGGGUGCUAACGUCCGUCGUGAAGAGGGAAACAACCCAGACCGCCAGCUAAGGUCCCAAAGUCAUGGUUAAGUGGGAAACGAUGUGGGAAGGCCCAGACAGCCAGGAUGUUGGCUUAGAAGCAGCCAUCAUUUAAAGAAAGCGUAAUAGCUCACUGGUCGAGUCGGCCUGCGCGGAAGAUGUAACGGGGCUAAACCAUGCACCGAAGCUGCGGCAGCGACGCUUAUGCGUUGUUGGGUAGGGGAGCGUUCUGUAAGCCUGCGAAGGUGUGCUGUGAGGCAUGCUGGAGGUAUCAGAAGUGCGAAUGCUGACAUAAGUAACGAUAAAGCGGGUGAAAAGCCCGCUCGCCGGAAGACCAAGGGUUCCUGUCCAACGUUAAUCGGGGCAGGGUGAGUCGACCCCUAAGGCGAGGCCGAAAGGCGUAGUCGAUGGGAAACAGGUUAAUAUUCCUGUACUUGGUGUUACUGCGAAGGGGGGACGGAGAAGGCUAUGUUGGCCGGGCGACGGUUGUCCCGGUUUAAGCGUGUAGGCUGGUUUUCCAGGCAAAUCCGGAAAAUCAAGGCUGAGGCGUGAUGACGAGGCACUACGGUGCUGAAGCAACAAAUGCCCUGCUUCCAGGAAAAGCCUCUAAGCAUCAGGUAACAUCAAAUCGUACCCCAAACCGACACAGGUGGUCAGGUAGAGAAUACCAAGGCGCUUGAGAGAACUCGGGUGAAGGAACUAGGCAAAAUGGUGCCGUAACUUCGGGAGAAGGCACGCUGAUAUGUAGGUGAAGUCCCUCGCGGAUGGAGCUGAAAUCAGUCGAAGAUACCAGCUGGCUGCAACUGUUUAUUAAAAACACAGCACUGUGCAAACACGAAAGUGGACGUAUACGGUGUGACGCCUGCCCGGUGCCGGAAGGUUAAUUGAUGGGGUUAGCGCAAGCGAAGCUCUUGAUCGAAGCCCCGGUAAACGGCGGCCGUAACUAUAACGGUCCUAAGGUAGCGAAAUUCCUUGUCGGGUAAGUUCCGACCUGCACGAAUGGCGUAAUGAUGGCCAGGCUGUCUCCACCCGAGACUCAGUGAAAUUGAACUCGCUGUGAAGAUGCAGUGUACCCGCGGCAAGACGGAAAGACCCCGUGAACCUUUACUAUAGCUUGACACUGAACAUUGAGCCUUGAUGUGUAGGAUAGGUGGGAGGCUUUGAAGUGUGGACGCCAGUCUGCAUGGAGCCGACCUUGAAAUACCACCCUUUAAUGUUUGAUGUUCUAACGUUGACCCGUGAUCCGGGUUGCGGACAGUGUCUGGUGGGUAGUUUGACUGGGGCGGUCUCCUCCUAAAGAGUAACGGAGGAGCACGAAGGUUGGCUAAUCCUGGUCGGACAUCAGGAGGUUAGUGCAAUGGCAUAAGCCAGCUUGACUGCGAGCGUGACGGCGCGAGCAGGUGCGAAAGCAGGUCAUAGUGAUCCGGUGGUUCUGAAUGGAAGGGCCAUCGCUCAACGGAUAAAAGGUACUCCGGGGAUAACAGGCUGAUACCGCCCAAGAGUUCAUAUCGACGGCGGUGUUUGGCACCUCGAUGUCGGCUCAUCACAUCCUGGGGCUGAAGUAGGUCCCAAGGGUAUGGCUGUUCGCCAUUUAAAGUGGUACGCGAGCUGGGUUUAGAACGUCGUGAGACAGUUCGGUCCCUAUCUGCCGUGGGCGCUGGAGAACUGAGGGGGGCUGCUCCUAGUACGAGAGGACCGGAGUGGACGCAUCACUGGUGUUCGGGUUGUCAUGCCAAUGGCACUGCCCGGUAGCUAAAUGCGGAAGAGAUAAGUGCUGAAAGCAUCUAAGCACGAAACUUGCCCCGAGAUGAGUUCUCCCUGACUCCUUGAGAGUCCUGAAGGAACGUUGAAGACGACGACGUUGAUAGGCCGGGUGUGUAAGCGCAGCGAUGCGUUGAGCUAACCGGUACUAAUGAACCGUGAGGCUUAACCUUACAACGCCGAAGCUGUU
rnacentral:rRNA from 1 species